rnacentral:lncRNA from 1 species
AGGUCGGCUUCCCUGGAGCGCCCUCCCCAGCCCUGUCCAGCCUCUCGAUCUUUGUCCUAACCUCAGACGGCGAUGGGCGGGGCAAGACGCUGGUCCUUCAGGCCCGAGUUGAUGGGCACCUCGGGCUCAUCACCGUGAAGUCCCCUGCGGCCAACGGGCGGUGGAUUUUUAGGGUCUCUCCCGCCCACCCCUCAUGCCAGUCCCCACCACUGCGUACUCUGUUGCGGAUCACACCAUCCGAUACAAACUUUAUUGGUAAUGGAAGCCAGCUUCAAUCUGGUUUCCUGUUAGAAACUUGAAAGAGUUUAAUUUACCGAUUUAUUUUUAACAACCCUAGAAACCUAUUAAACCCAAUCACACAGAUUUAGCUUUUGGUUAUAACAUGGCCUGGCACAGCUUUCUGAUAUUGUCGGAGUGUAAACAUAGGUCUUCUUUCUCCAACCAGUGAGAAAGGGAUUUUUUUUUUCUUUUCUUUUCUUUUUUGAGACGCAGCUUUGCUCUUGUUGCCCAGGCUGGAGUGCAAUGGCGCGAUCUCGGCUCACCGCAACCUCCCCCUCCCGGGUUCAAGCGAUUCUCCUACCUCAGCCUCCUGAGUAGCUGGAAUUACAGGCAUGCGCCACCACGCCCAGCUAAUUUUGUAUAUUUUAGUAAAAACGGGGUUUCUCCAUGUUGGUCAAGCUGAUCUCCAACUCCCGACCUCAGGACAAUCUAUGCAGGAAGAAUGAAUGGGUGAUGCUGGCAUCUUGAAAAGUUGAAGCUGAUAGACUGAAGAAUGCGGAUUACAUACCCUGAGGCUGCAGAGGAUUUUUUCUCAGGCAGCCAAGAAGAUGGUGGAUUGAGACUGAGCAUGCCUACCACAAGCAGCUGACCAUCAUUCAAAGCAAGAAGAGGGUCCUGCUAAAGGAAACUGGCAAGAAGCAGCUCCUAUGGUACUUACAAGAACAUCGAUCUAGGCUUCAAGAGGUCCAAAGAGACUAUUGAGGGCACCUACAUUGACAAGGAAUGCCUGUUCACUGGUAACGUCUCCAUCUGAGGGCAGAUCCUGUAUGGCAUGGUGACCAAGAUGGAGAUGCAGAGGACCACUGUCAUCCAGAGAAACUAUCUCCACUACAUCCGCAAGUACAAUUGCUUCGAGAAGUACCACAAGAACAUGUCCAUGCACCUGUUCCCCUGCUUCAGGAUGUCCAGAUCAGCGACAUUGUCACGCUGGAUAAGUGCCGGUCCCUGAACAAGACGGUGUACUUCAAUGUGCUCAAGGUCACCAAGGUCGCAGACAUCAAGAAGCAAUUCCAGAAGUUCUGAGGCUGAAUGUCUGCCUGCUCCCCAAAAUAAAAUAAAGUUAUUUUCUCAUUCAUACACACAAAAAAUGACUAAUAGGUAAGAUAACCACACAAACUUAAUACACAACAAAAACAUAUUAAAACAUAUUAAUGCAAUUAGAGAUUUAAAAAAAAAACUAGCAAGCUGUGUCAAAG